CUUUUCGAGGUAGGAGUCGACUCCUGUGAGGUAUGUUUUAUCUUUGCGAAUGUUGCGGGUUUUGGGGCGCUCCAGCCUUUGUCUGCUAAGGUCACCCUGAAUUGACUGGGACUUCUAAGCCAGUCGCGCGCCUUUGCAGGGCCUACAAGUUGAGGAUGGUGGGGGAUUGCACAUAUGGUGCAUGCGUGACCUAAGCUGCGACUAUGUUAGAGUAGAACUGCGGAGAAGCCUCGGCUCUCGUGCCCUGCCUCUGAUGAAGCCUGUGUUGGUAGGGACAUCUGAGAGUAAUGAUGAAUGCCAACCGCUCUGAUGGUGGCACAUGCCGAGUCACCCGAGUAAGCUAUUGUUAAGGGCCGUGACCCGAGCCUCCAUCAGCCGUCCGCUCUCAUGAAAGGCUGUCGGUGGUAGUCCACGUGCUUAAGUGCCUGCAUUCCGCAGUGUCACCAAUAUUUCCAUUAGUGUUUCUUUUUUCUUUUUUGAGACCGAGCCUCGUUCUGUCACCCAGGCUGGAAUGCAGUGGCUCGACAUCGGUUAAUGGCAACCUCCGCGUCCCGAGUUAAGCAGUUCUGCCUCAGCCUCCCAAGUAACUGGGACUACAGGCGCGCGCCACCAUGCUAGGCUUUUAUAUUUUUAGUAGAGACGGGGUUUCACCAUGUUGGCGAGACUGGUCUUGAACUCCUGACCUCAGGUGAUCCACCAGCCGUGGUCCCCCAACAUACUGGGAUUACAAGCCGUGAGCCACCGCGCCCGGCCGCCAUCGGUGGUUCUUAACUGCGGGUGCAGUGCUUCUUUGUAACAUUAAGUGUAUCCUUUACCUGUCGCUAGAUAAUGAAUGGUAUGUUACCUGCAUCAUUGGUUUAAAAAGACGAACCGUUUUUUUAAAGAACACUCUUUAAAAAAAAGAACCGUGGAACAAUGAAUUAAAAUCUGUACCUGAUCUCUUUAGGUAUGGUGCUGGGUGCAGAUGCAGUGUGGCUCUGGAUAGCACCUUAUGGACAGUUGUGUCCCCAAGGAAGGAUGAGAAUAGCUACUGAAGUCCUAAAGAGCAAGCCUAACUCAAGCCAUUGGCACACAGGCAUUAGACAGAAAGCUGGAAGUUGAAAUGGUGGAGUCCAACUUGCCUGGACCAGCUUAAUGGUUCUGCUCCUGGUAACGUUUUUAUCCAUGGAUGACUUGCUUGGGUAAGGACAUGAAGACAGUUCCUGUCAUACCUUUUAAAGGUACAUGUUUUAUUGAUGUUAACGUUAAUUGAUUGAGCUACUGUUAGUGAUGAUUUUAAAAUUAAAGCAGAUGGGAAUCUCUCUGAGAAAGAAAAUGGAGAUUAAUCUUAAACUGAAACAGUAGUUGGGAAAUCUUUUAGAAAUCCACCUAUUACUACCUAUUGGUAAAGGAGAUUAAAUUUCUACAGGUAUGGAGAGUCGGCUUGACUACACUGUGUGGAGCAAGUUUUAAAGAAGCAAAGGUAUAGCAGUUCCAAGUAUUUUUUUUUUUUUUUUAGACAAGAGUCUAGCUCUUGCCCAGAAUGGAGUGCAGCGGCACUAUCAGUUCACUGCAACCUCUGCCUCCCAGGUUCAAGGAAUUCUCCUGCCUCAGCCUCUUGAGUAGCUGGGAUUACAGGCAUGUGACACCAUGCCUGGCUAAUUUUGUACAGCUAUGUUGUCCAGGCUGGUCUCGAACUCUUGACCUCAAGUGAUACUGCCCGCACUGACCUCCCAAAGUGCUGGGAUUACAGGCGUGAGCCACCAUGCCCCGCCUCAAGUCUGGUUUUUAAGUGUUGUAAAGCCGAUACAAUGAUGAUAACAUAGUUCAGCAGACUAACGCUGAUGAGCAAUAUUAAGUCUUUCGCUCCUAUCUGAUGUAUCUGGCGGUAACAUUCUAGUUUAUGCCCCGAAAAGGGGAAUAUAGCCAUUCUAUAAUGUUUGGAGAUUUUGGAUUACUCCUAAUUGUAUGCAAGUUGUCUUACUGUGUAUUGUCCCUUAAUUUCAGGACUCAGAAUUCAUGAUUGAAGAAAUGCAGGUUAGUUUAAACUUUGAAGGAAAUUUUUAAGGUGGCAAAAGGUU
rnacentral:lncRNA from 1 species